GAAUAAAAAUAUUUGCGGUAGCGAUAAUUAGAGUUACUUCUUGCAAUGAACGAUGGCGUAGGUUCGAUUCCUACUUUCUCCA
rnacentral:tRNA from 1 species